AUGGGGAUUCUCCAGGCAAGAAUACUGGAAUGGAUUGCCAUGCUCUCCUCCAGGGGAUCUUCCCAACCCAAAGAUCAAACUCAGGUCUCCCGCAAUGUGGAUGGAUUCUUUACUGUAUUGUCUGAGCUACAAGGGAAGCCCAUUUUCUUUAUUGUUGGAUUCAAGUCCCUCGUUGUUUCAAAGGCUCCACCCAUUUUGCCUCCUGCUCAUGAUGAAGCUUUGGAUCAUCUUCAGUGUUAUGGCUGGCGAGCUAAAAACUAAAGUGGCUUCCAGAAGACAGUAAUGGGAACAACAGGCAACUCGCUCGUUACACUACGCCUUGGAGCAGAAGCCACUAAUGAGUCUAAUCCAUUCACCUUCUGGACACCUUAGCUGUCUGCAUCUCCCCCUCAGAGAAGCAGAGUCCCCCUUUUCGGAUGUCCAUUCAUUUACCCGCAGCUCCAUCAAACCCUACUCCCCAGAUUACAUUUCAAAUGAUGUAGUGUUCCAGGAUGCUCUCUGCAAACCAAACCAGGCUUUGUAAAGGCAAGAGGUGAUUGUGGUUGGCAUCCAGAGCUCUGACGGCACAUCCCCGAGUUGGAAGAUUCUCUGUGUUUCAGGUGGACUUUGCACUCCUCCAUGGCAGCUCGGCUUCUGACCGCAGGCAGAAUGAUUAAUGGAAAGUUCUGAUGAGAAGUAAUUUUUUUGAGAAGCACCAGAACCCCUCCUCCCUCCAGCUUGGACUGAAGUGCAAAGAAAGCAGCAGCUCAAUUACUGUUUGGGGGGUUUUAUUUUUUAUUUUUUUGUAAUUUGGCAUUUUUGUGAUCUCUCAAAAUUGAUUUCCUUUCACCCUAAACCCUGUUGCUUCCCUAACAGUCAAUUUCAAGUAAAUAUCUGUCUGUUCAUUGUGUGAUAUGAUUGUCCACUGCAUAUCAGCAAUGGCUUGAAGACUGGUGGCGGCGGGGGCGGGGCCUUUAAGACCAUCUGGAGGAAUUUCCUGGAUUGUUGGUUAUUCCCAGUCUCCUCACAAUCACUUGGUUGAAAAUGCAAUAAAGGAAAUGAAAAUUAACCCCCUGUUAGGACAGCUGGUUUCAGGGAAUUCAGUUUGUUGAAAAGAAAGAAAUGGAUUCAUAAUGGAUUCCUCAGUCACCCAAGAAAUUUAAAAAUUAUUUCCGGAAUGUUGAAGUAUGAAAGUUCUUGCAGAUUCCCAAAGCAGGUUCUGAUAUUUAUGUCGUGAAUUUCACUUUGCAUGCCACCCAGAGUUCACUCUAGGUGAUCAUGAUGUCCUUAGUUCCAUCAGGUGGUUGGGAUGUGUCUUUCUGUCCUUCUAGUUGUUGACAGGACCCUCUGGGGCAGCUAGAAUCUGUGGGAAUAAACCGAGGGUGGACAGCCUGCUUUUUCAGUGCAGCCCCACUGCCUCUGACUGUAAGUAAAGCAUCCAGUGCCCACUGUAUCAAGAAGAGGGAGCCCAUCAUGGAAAAAUUUGUAUCCCAUUCCAGGUUCCCACAUCCUUCACGUAACUGCCCAGCAUACACUUAGCUUCUUCUCUUGAAUGUCCUUGUAUCUGUACCAGUCAGCCCAACUUGGUCUUCCAAGUUUCCAACUACAGGUGCUCAGCUUACGUCCAUCAAAGUUACACAGCCAAUUAAAACAGCUUUUUCCAAGCAUAGCUUUGAGUCCAUUAGAGUCCCAUUACGACUCUGCCUGUGACCUCAACCAACUCAUAGUACAAAUCAAGCCAUUUCCCCCGUAGGUGCACCUCUACAAUCAGAGGGAACUUGAUGACAUAUGGCUGUCUGGGAGGAGCUUGCCCAUCAUCUCAUCAGUGCUCUGGGCUAUAGGAAGCAGAUAGGCACGGGGCCAAAGAUAAGGCCAUUUCAGAAGACAGAUGGUUGUAAUCAACAGCCCCUCCUGAGUGAGAAGCAUCAAACCAAGCUCAUCACUUAGUCUUAUUAAGGGAAUAGGAAGCAGUGGGGAGGAGAGCACAUUAAAAUCCCACUGGACAUCAGUGAUGAGCUUGUAAGGUCGAGAAACCAAGGAAUGUAAUAAGAAAACCCUGGGAAUGAUUGGCUGCUGGGCACUUGCUGUUUUGUGUUCUGAUUACCAAGCGGCCCUAUGGAUGCAAAAUGCUUACUAAGCAACUUCUGGGUUUGCAAAAAUCAACUUCCUGCUCGUACCCUGCUAAGGGGACAUUUUUCCACCAAUAAAAGGUAGUUCAAUUAUUUUUUUCCAUUUGGGGUAGGAAGAAGGAGAGAGAGUGAGAAACAAUCAGGAUAUAACCUCACAGAAAGAAAGAAAGUGAAGUCACUCAGUCAUGUCCAACUCUGCGACCUCAUGGACUGUAGUCUACCAGGUUCCUCUGCCCAUGGGAUUGUCCAGGCAAGAAUACUGGAGUGGGCUGCCAUUUAAGUUUUCAAUUAUUUCCUGAAGUUAUUUUUAAUACUUUAAAGAAAAUAUGUAUUUGCCCUUGAUUUGUAUAACAAGGAAAUAAAUCCAGUGGAGAAGGUUUUUGUUUUUUUACUUUUUUGGGGGGGGGCAGGGGUUGUUUGUUGGCUGCAUCCUGAAGCUUUCAAGAUCUUAGUUCUCCAACCAGGGAUGGAACCCAUGCCUGGCAGUGGGAGCACAGAGUCCCAAACACCAGACUGCCAGGGAAUUCUUAGAACUUUUAAAAACUGGCUGAAUUCGGUUUCCAGAGGAUGGCUUUAACAAAGCAGUGUCAUUACCAUCAUAAAUUUCCCUUUAGUACCUCGAAGAUACACACCAAAAUGAGCUGAUACAUGUGGAAGGCUGUAUUAAACUCUAAAAUAUUAUUUAUAUGCAAAAGUUUAUUAUUAUGCCCCAGAGUCAGGUCCUUUUCCUCAGCAUGCUUUGGUGUAUACUAA
ensembl:lncRNA